CGGCGAUUGAAUUUGACCAAGAUUUAAAUAGGUUUUGCGAAAAAAAAAUUGAUCCAGGUAUAAUAGUUGCGCCAGACUGUAGGGUGUCUCCCUGAUGCGGAGCAGUUUUCCAUGAUCUGGAAGUUUUCCCAUACUCACUGGGAGGUCCCGAGCACACCCCCCAUACAUCAUUUUCACCCCCCGACACUCCUUCUGGGAGAACAACUAUGUCAGUCAGUCAGUCAGUCAAUAGGUACAUGGGUUUGUAGCUAUAUAUAGUAUAAUAACUAGAUUUCGCGUGGUUCGCUCGCAGCAAGCUGCUCGCGUGUCUUGUUUUCCCGCCAUUUUUUUACCGCGAUAGAAUUUGACCAAGAUUUAAAUAGGUCUUGUGAAGAAAGAAUCGUUCCAGGUGCGAUAGUUGCGCCAGGCCGUAGGGUCUCUCCCUGAUGCGGAGCAGUUUUUGAAAACCUUGAAGUAUACUCGUACUCUAGAUGACGUUCCGAUCACACCCCUAUACAUCAAUCUUACCUCUCAGA